CCUACGGGGGGCAGCAGUGGGGAAUAUUGCACAAUGGGGGAAACCCUGAUGCAGCGACGCCGCGUGGGUGAAGGAGCAUUUCGGCAUGUAAAGCCCUAUCAGCAGGGAAGAAGGAAGACGGUACCUGACUAAGAAGCCCCGGCUAACUACGUGCCAGCAGCCGCGGUAAUACGUAGGGGGCAAGCGUUAUCCGGAUUUACUUGGUGUAAAGGGGGCGUAGACGGCAGGGCAAGCCCGAAGUGAAAGCCCGGGGCUCAACCGCGGAACUGCUUUGGAAACUGUCUAGCUGGAGUACAGGAGGGGCAGGCGGAAUUCCUGGUGUAGCGGUGAAAUGCGUAGAUAUUAGGAGGAACACCAGUGGCGAAGGCGGCCUGCUGGACAGAAACUGACGUUGAGGCUCGAAAGCGUGGGGAGCAAACAGGAUUAGAUACCCCAGUAGUC
rnacentral:rRNA from 1 species